rnacentral:sRNA from 2 species
GCAGCGGGCAUCUAGGGUUCCGGUCUUUCAACUCCUCCAGAAAGACGCAGGUCCGAGAGGUGCCACCCGGUCAAAACAGUCCGGGAACACGGCGGGGCAAAAUCCCGGGAGAC